rnacentral:rRNA from 1 species
CAAGGCCGUCACGGGUACGGAAAAUUGGGGUUUGACACCGGAGAGGGAGCCUGAGAAAUGGCUACCACAUCUAAGGAUGGCAGCAGGCGCGAAAAUUACCCAAUCCUAACAUUUGGGAGGUAGUGACAAGAAAUAACGUCCUUCCAUUCUUGGAAGGGUACCGCAAGGUUUGGAAUGGUUCUAGUUCGAAUUCCUAUUAGAGUAACAAUUGGAGGACAAGUCUGGUGCCAGCACCCGCGGUAAUUCCAGCUCCAAAAGCAUAUACUAAAAUUGCUGUAGUUAAAACGCUCGUAGUUUAUACAAGGGAUGCAAUUUGUAUGUUUCAGACUAUUGCUAGUUGCUGGCAAAUUCGUUUACCGAUUAGUUAGUAACCAAGCGUAGUCCUUGCUUGGUUCUCCAAGUAAGCACGUUAGUGCCAAGGGUUUUGGGUCUCUUCUUACCAAAAAGUCUUGGCAUGUGUGGGGCAUAGAUUGCGUUCUGAUUCGAACCGUGAACAAAUUAAAGUGUUUAAAGCGGGCAUUGUACGUUCUUUGAACGUUUUGCUUGAAUAAUUUAGCAUGGGACUCAUUUUCCUUGCAAAAGGAUAAGAAAAAGGAGCCAGGAAGAGGACUCUGGUAUUGCGCGUUUAGAGGUGAAAUUCCGACAUCUUCGCAGGACGAACGGAGGCGUAGGCUGUCAUUGCCCAUCACAUCUCUAUUGAUCAGGAACGAAAGUCAGGGGAUCGAAGAUGAUUAGAUACCGUCGUAGUCCUGACCGUAAACGAUACUAACUCGAGUUUGUAUGUAACAGUUUUUCAAAAAUUGAUACAGAAUCCAAGGGAAACCGUUAAGUCUUUGGGUUCUGGGGGGAGUAUAGUCGCAAGGCCGAAACUUAAAGGAAUUGACGGAAAGACACUACCAGGAGUGGAGUUUGCGGCUUAAUUCGACCCAACGCGGGAAAACUCACCAGGAUAGGACAGAAUGAGGAUUGACAGGUUGAAUAUGGUCCUUUCUUGAUUUUUUGGAAGGUGGUGCAUGGCCGUUCUUAGUUCGUGGAGUGAUCUGUCUACUUAAUUGUGUUAACGAACGAGACCUUAACCUGUUAACUAGGCACUAGUUGAAUUUUAUUCAUGGGUUUCUUACGAAAUCUAGGUCAUUCGGGUUUUACCCGAGCUUCUUAAAGGGACAAUACUGUGUAUUUUAUAUUUUAGCGUAGGGAAGUUUAAGGCAAUAACAGGUCUGUGAUGCCCUGAGAUAUCCUGGGCGGCACGCGUACUACAAUGUCAUUGACAACAGGCUUUCCGCUUCGGCGGGCCUCUACCAAAAUGUAGGGGAAAACGUGUCAAACACUUAUAUGACUGGGAUAGCUGUUUGUAAUUACAUCUUAAACGAGGAAUUCCUAGUAAGCGCAAGUCAUCAUCUUGCAUUGAUUACGUCCCUGUCUUUUGUACACACCGCCCGUCGCUCCUACCGAUUGGAUAGCAAGGUGAACUUGAUGGACUUUAACGAGAAAAUUUAUUAAACCUUUCCAUCUCUAGGAAGGAGAAGUCGUAACAAGGUC